GAACGCUAGCGGCAGGCUUAACACAUGCAAGUCGAGGGGCAGCAUGAGGGUUAGCAAUAACCCUUGAUGGCGACCGGCGCACGGGUGAGUAACACGUAUGCAACCUGCCCGUCACAGGGGGAUAACCGGGGGAAACCCCGCCUAAUACCCCAUAUUAUAUAGUUAUUGCAUGAUGAUUAUAUGAAAACCUUGGUGGUGACGGAUGGGCAUGCGGUGCAUUAGCUAGUUGGUGAGGUAACGGCUCACCAAGGCGACGAUGCAUAGGGGUUCUGAGAGGAAGGUCCCCCACACUGGAACUGAGACACGGUCCAGACUCCUACGGGAGGCAGCAGUGAGGAAUAUUGGUCAAUGGUCGGAAGACUGAACCAGCCAAGUAGCGUGAAGGAUGAAGGUUCUAUGGAUUGUAAACUUCUUUUAUACGGGAAUAAAACACCUUACGUGUAGGGUCUUGUAUGUACCGUAUGAAUAAGCAUCGGCUAACUCCGUG
rnacentral:rRNA from 1 species